rnacentral:rRNA from 1 species
CAGCCGCCGCGGGAACACGAAGGGUGCAAGCGUUAAUCGGAAUUACUGGGCGUAAAGCGUGCGUAGGCGGUUUGUUAAGUCUGUUGUGAAAUCCCCGGGCUCAACCUGGGAAUGGCAAUGGAUACUGGCAAGCUAGAGUGUGUCAGAGGAUGGUGGAAUUCCCGGUGUAGCGGUGAAAUGCGUAGAGAUCGGGAGGAACAUCAGUGGCGAAGGCGGCCAUCUGGGACAACACUGACGCUGAGGCACGAAAGCGUGGGGAGCAAACAGGAUUAGAUACCCCCGUAGUCCCUGUCUCUUAUAC